rnacentral:rRNA from 1 species
UGCAAUUUACUCGCAAUCCGCCAGGGAACUACAAGCAUUGGCUUGAAACCCAAAGGACUUGGCGGUGCUUUAGACCCACCUAGAGGAGCCUGUUCUAGAACUGAUAACCCCCGUUCAACCUCACCCUGCUUUGCCAUUCCCGCCUAUAUACCGCCGUCGUCAGCUUACCUUGUGAGAGAUUAUAAGUGAGCAAGAUUGGUAUAACCCAAAACGUCAGGUCGAGGUGUAGUGAAUAGCAGGGGAAGAAAUGGGCUACAUUUAUCUAUUGAUAAAUACGGAUCUUUAAUUGAAAAAUGAAGCUGAAGGAGGAUUUAGUAGUAAGAAGGAAAUAGAGUGUUC